rnacentral:rRNA from 1 species
AACGAACGCUGGCGGCAGGCUUAACACAUGCAAGUCGAGCGCCCCGCAAGGGGAGCGGCAGACGGGUGAGUAACGCGUGGGAACGUACCCUUUACUACGGAAUAGCUCCGGGAAACUGGAAUUAAUAACGUAUGUGCCCUUCGGGGGAAAGAUUUAUCGGUAAAGGAUCGGCCCGCGUUGGAUUAGCUAGUUGGUGGGGUAAAGGCCUACCAAGGCGACGAUCCAUAGCUGGUCUGAGAGGAUGAUCAGCCACAUUGGGACUGAGACACGGCCCAAACUCCUACGGGAGGCAGCAGUGGGGAAUAUUGGACAAUGGGCGCAAGCCUGAUCCAGCCAUGCCGCGUGAGUGAUGAAGGUCUUAGGAUUGUAAAGCUCUUUCACCGGGGAAGAUAAUGACGGUACCCGGAGAAGAAGCCCCGGCUAACUUCGUGCCAGCCGCCGCCGUAAUAC